rnacentral:rRNA from 1 species
GACGAACGCUGGCGGCGUGCUUAACACAUGCAAGUCGAACGGAAAGGCCCUGCUUUUGUGGGGUGCUCGAGUGGCGAACGGGUGAGUAACACGUGAGUAACCUGCCCUUGACUUUGGGAUAACUUCAGGAAACUGGGGCUAAUACCGGAUAGGAGCUCCUGCUGCAUGGUGUGGGUUGGAAAGUUUCGGCGGUUGGGGAUGGACUCGCGGCUUAUCAGCUUGUUGGUGGGGUAGUGGCUUACCAAGGCUUUGACGGGUAGCCGGCCUGAGAGGGUGACCGGCCACAUUGGUACUGUGGUACGGCCCAGACUGCUACGGGAGGCAGCAGUGGGGCAUAUUGCACACUGGGCGGACGCCUGAUGGAGCAACGCUGCGUGCGGGAUGACGGCCAUCGGGUUGUAGCCCGCUUUCGCCUGUGACGAAGCGUGAGUGACGGUAAUGGGUAAAGAAGCUCCGGCUAACUACGUG